GGUUGUGGCUCAGUGGUAGAGCACUUGCCUAGCACGUGUGAGGCCCUGGGUACGAUUCUCAGCACCA
rnacentral:tRNA from 1 species